GAGUGUUCCAGAAGCAACCUUGUCACUCCACAGAUUCCAACCCUGCAGGAGUUCCAUGGACUGUCCCCAAGCCCUGCUCCCUGCCCGCCGUUACAGCUUCGAGUCCUUCCUUACUUGCUCUCCACCUGGAGAGGAAGUGGACUUGGACCCCCUCCACCCUUUGCCAGCCCCUCGAAGCCUGUCCCCCUCACCCUGUCCCCCUCACCCUGGCCUGCACCUCCUGCCCCUGCCCCCCACCCCGUGUCCUCCCACUUGUCUCACUUGCUGUCCCCUCCAGCUCUGCUCACCUCUGUCUCCACCAUCAGCCACCCGAGCACCUGGAGGGCAAGGACACCUCUCAGUCCUCUGUGCUACCAGGAAGCCACACUGGUCGCCAGUCAACAGGGGAUCAGCCUGCAGCUGCUUCCGCCUCCUGAAGCCGUGGAAAACUCCCACCGGAGAAGAUGUGUUCUUAGUUAGGAGAGCAAGCUGGGGUCCCUUUUUGGAAUGAAACAUGACUCUUCCUGGGUGUCCGAGAAGAGAGAGAGACAGGACCGCACACGAGGUGGGGAAAACAUCUCUGCAAACUCUGGACAGAUCUUGGGGAAGCGGUGGUGUGUAGAAGGCAAGUAGGGGACGGUGGGCCCGUGAGGGGGCUGAGGGCACAGGAGGGAAGGGCAGCGGGUAGCUCUGGGCAGUGCAGGCUGAGGAACCUGGAGGAGCAGGGGGGGCGGGGCAGGGUGAGAGUGCUUCCCUUCCUGUGCUGUCACUCACACGCACAUACCCUGCCCCGCCCUCACCCAUUGUGCCAAACCUUCGAGAACAGUCUCUGAAAGCCGCUCAGUGAUGGAGCUGGGGAAGACGGAGGGAAGAGACCAUAUGCAGAGGGACACGGGAGCAAAGCCAAGGGGGUGGCUGAGGAGUCCAAGGGAGGCCAAAGUCGGAAUUGAAAGCUGGGACACCAGUAUCUUCUCCUGACUUCAGACUCAGACUGCAAUGACACCAUCAGCUCUGCAGCUUAUUGACGACGGGUCUUGGGAUUUCUCGGUCUUCAUAAUCUGAGCCAAUUCCUUGUUUUAUAUACUUAAUUGGUUCUGUCUCUCUGAAGAAUCAAUGAAGAAGAGAAAGAAGGAGGAGGAGAAAGAAGAGAGUGAGUGUUGGGGCCUGUUGGAGAUGCUCCCUCUGAGCAGAUGCUGAGCACAGACCUGACAGUAGAUACCUACACGAGGGCUGGUCCAAGACUGAGCUACCCCCUGCACCAUGCUUCUCAGAUUCAGGCCCAUCUUCACAAGUCAGAUGAGGAGCUCAGAGAGCCCACCCCCUCUUCCUCGCUGCAUUUCCCAGGGCAUAGCUGAGCUCUGGGAUAGCAUAUGAGUCCCUUGACAAAGGUUUUAAACCUCAAGAGAUUUCUGCUCCAUUGAGUCACCAGCACAAUGUCCAGAGAUCCUGAGAACUGACACCAGGCCUCCAGUCUCCAAGCCCAGCUUUAGAUGGAGCCACCAGCUUCACGUUCAGGUGGAGAGAAGGUGCUCUGAUUUUAACAGGUCCCCUUCAAAUUUCAGAAGCCAAAACUUAUUGUCCAAUGUGACAGUAUUAAGAGGCAGGGCUUCAAGAGGGGACUAAAUUGUGAGUGUUGACUCUGGUGAAUGAGAUCAGGUGCCCCAUGACAGGGCUUAAGUUUGUUCCUCUUGCCUUCUGCCUGCCAGAUGAGGGCACAGUGCUCCUUCUCUCCAGGGGGCACGACGCUCAGGCACCAUCUUGAAUCAGACCACAGCCCACCAGACAGCCAGACCUGCCACGUCUCCACCUUGAGUUUUCCAGCCUUCGGAACUGUGACAAAAUAAAUUUAUAGUCUGUUAUUUUUCAUAGCAGCAGAAAAUGACUGAGAUAUGAUAACAAAGCCACUUGGGCCGCAUGCAGAGAGCACCGUCCCCUGUAUUAAGUAAGCCCUGUACAGGGCAUUGCUGGGGACGCAUAGGGAACCAAUGGCUUCCUUCACUCAUUUUGAUAGUGGAGCCCAGGACUAGCCACAGGUGCUCUUGCUGUGAUGUCCUGGGGAGCUACCAGUGGGACGAGGGGACCUCACAAUUCUCUGUGGAGGCAUGAAUCUAGGUCACUUCCCUCUGGCUCGGACAGCCCUCAAGCCACACUCUGUUCCAACCCUGUCUAAUGGUGUCAGCCUGCCAAUCUGAGAUGACUCAGGGUGUUAGGACAUGUCAAGCUGAAACACACACCCCUUGUCCCAUCCCGAGGGGCUGGCUCUGUUAGAGAAACAGGCCUCACCCACACCUUCUCUUCUGUGUUCCAUGAGGUUCCGAAGACAACCACUGAUCCGGCUAGUGUUCAAGCCUGUUCUCCCCCAUAGAGAAGCCUGACUCUUCCUCAUUAGUGAGGACAGACACCUCGGACUCAUCCCCACAGCCCACCCGACAGACACAAAGGCAGGAAUGAGAGAACACAAGUAACCCAUCAGUGUGAGAGCCCAUUCCUUGCUGUCGAUUAUUAAAUGGCUAUUUAAUUUCUA